CAGGUACACCCUGGACAGGUCGCCAGUCUGUCGCAGGGCAACACAAAGACAGACAGGACAAACAACCAUGCACACACACACUCACACCUAGGGAGAAUUUAGAGAGAAAAAUUAACCUGACCGUCAUGUUUUGACUGUGGGAGGAAACUGGAAUAUAAAGUUAAUAACACA